GGGUGCAUGGUCUAGUGGUAUGAUUUUCGCUUCGCAUCUUUCCAAAGGCGCGAUUACAUUGUGAACGGUCCCCGGUUCAAUCCCGGGUGCAUCCA